rnacentral:rRNA from 1 species
UACAGGGGGUGCAAGCGUUGCUCGGAAUCACUGGGCGUAAAGCGUACGCAGGCGGACCGUUAAGUCGGGAGUGAAAGCCCGGGGCUCAACCCCGGAAAUGCUUUCGAAACUGGCGGUCUUGAAUACGGGAGAGGUGAGUGGAAUUCCUGGUGUAGAGGUGAAAUUCGUAGAUAUCAAGGAGGAACACCGGUGGCGAAGGCGGGUCUCUGGGCAAUAACUGACGCUGAGGAGCGAAAGCGUGGGGAGCGAACAGG